ACACAUCAGUUAGUAAAAAAUUAACGACACUAAUCUUGUUCUCCCCCAGUAAGGCAGCUGUGUGUGCGCCUGGCUGUAUCUUCAAUCAAUGGCUCUUCGGAGCUCUCGAAUUUCACUCUCUGUGAGAAGAAUUGGCUAUUCCGGCACCGCAUUUCGAGCCACUGGUCUCACCUUUAAGUUCUUCUCCCUUUCUCUCACUGUCGCUGUUUUCUUUUUCUUAUCUUUCUCCUCUUUUCUCUUUAUCUCCUCCGACGAUACCUCCGAUCACCGCCUCGUAAGUCCUACCCCUCGCAUUUCUCCUUCUAUGACUCUUUUCUUCAGGAAAUAGAUGCUUGCGUUGAAUUUAUUUAUUCUCCCGAGAUCUCAAAUUUUGCAAACUUUAAUUGUCUAUUAUCAUCUCGUAAAUGACGUGCUUUGAUUAGUGAUUGUAGUUGCUCUUCAUUUUCUAUGCUGUAAUUUGACUUUUUGCAUGCAUUUAUUUGUGCAUUUAUCUAUGGCUGAAAUUAUGCAUUUAUUGGUGCAUUUGUAUGUAUUAAUUGCUUGAUUUUUGUUUAAAUAGGGUUUCUCGAAUGAUUUGUAUGGAUUUGGAUCGUACUGUAGGUCGAUUCUAGGUUUGAAAUCGGAUCCUUUGAAGCCAAGGCUUGAUCAGAUCAGGGAGCAAGCAGAUGACCACCACGUUUGGCUCUGGCUUAUGCUUCCCAUGCUAGAAAGGUG
rnacentral:lncRNA from 1 species